UGCCUCGUAAAUUGAGGCCUGUAUGAAUGGCUAAACGAGGUCUUAACUGUCUCUUGCAGGCAAUCGGUGAAAUUGAUCUCCCUGUGCAAAAGCAGGGAUAAACCCAUAAGACGAGAAGACCCUGUGGAACUUCAAAAUCAGCAACCACCCUUCAACACAUCCACGCCCAUCGGGCUCACGAACCUACAAGGUGCUGGUCUGCAUUUUUUGGUUGGGGCGACCUUGGAGAAAAACAGAUCCUCCAAAGAUUAGACCAUACCUCUAGACUGAGAGCGACCACUCAACGUGCUAAUAGCACCCAGACCCAAUAUAAUUGAUCAAUGGACCAAGCUACCCCAGGGAUAACAGCGCAAUCUCCUCCGAGAGUCCGUAUCGACGGGGAGGUUUACGACCUCGAUGUUGGAUCAGGACAUCCUAGUGGUGCAGCCGCUACUAAGGGUUCGUUUGUUCAACGAUUAAAGU
rnacentral:rRNA from 1 species